rnacentral:SRP_RNA from 1 species
UGCUAGGUCUAACCGGGGUGUUCGGCGUGCCCUUAUACACCGAAAACGCCGAUACGCGGGGGUGACCACCGGGGACGGUGUAAUCAGCCCACCGCUGAGCCAGAUUCAGACGAUGAGACCUCGUCCUUCGGGAUCGGAGGUGCUUUGAAGGACAACCGGAGGGUUGUCCCUCUCUGUCUUAGCCAGGUUCACCAGGCUAGGCCCGGAAGGGAGCAGCCGACACCUGGACUCCCGAUGCUCGAGGGAUAGCGGGGUCGAGGAUGAUUCUGGGUUCCUCAGUGGUGAGCUGAGCACCAACCUCGGUGACCUAGCA